rnacentral:rRNA from 1 species
GACGAACGCUGGCGGCGGGCUUAACACAUGCAAGUCGAACGGAAAGGCCCUUCUUUUGUUUGGUCCUCGAGUGGCGAACGGGUGAGUAACACGUAAGUAACCUGCCCUUGACUGGGGGAUAACUUCAGGAAACGGGGGCUAAUACCGGAUAGGAGCUCCUGCUGCAUGGUGGGGGUUGGAAAGUUGCGGCGGGUGGGGAUGGAGUCGCGGGUUGUCAGGUUGUUGGGGGGGUAGAGGCUUACCAAGGCUUUUACGGGUAGCCGGCCUGAGGGGGUGAACGGCCAUACUGGGACUGAGCUUCCGCCAAGCCGCCUAAGGGAGGCAGCAGUGGGGAUUAUUGCACAAUGGCAGGAAGCCUGAGUGAGCGAAGCCGCGCGCGGGAUGACGGACUUGGGGUUGUCAACCGAUAUAGCCUGCGACGGCGCGGGAGUGACGGUAAUAGGUAAAGAAGCAACGGCUAACUACGUG